ensembl:rRNA 5S_rRNA 5S ribosomal RNA
GCCAGCAGCCAUAUCACCCUGCAACUCACAACUGGCAACCCACUGAAGCUAAGCAGGUGUGAGCCUGGUCAGUACCUGGAUGGGAGACCUCCUGGGAAAAACUAAGUGGGGCCAGCA